rnacentral:lncRNA from 1 species
CAGGGGGUUAUCAGGAAAUAAGGAAGAAAGGCCCACAUGUCGGGAUUACAUAGAGAUAUCAACGCACCACACGAUUUUACAUCAUCUAGAAGACUCCAGAAGCCACGAGACCGAAGCGGAGGCGAAACUGGGCCAGGCCCAGGGCGCCCGCCCUGGUAGCCUGGGCGCCCGCCCCCCUGUUGGAGCCAAAUCAGGACUCUUUCGCUCGGGAUGUUCCACCGACCUAU